rnacentral:tRNA from 2 species
GGGCUGGUGGUCUAGUGGUUAUGACGUCGCGCUUACAACGCGGAGAUCGGCGGUUCAAUUCCGCCUCAGCCCA